GACGUAGGGCGCGAGCGUUGUCCGGAUUUAUUGGGCGUAAAGAGCUCGUAGGCGGCUUGUCGCGUCGACUGUGAAAACCCGCGGCUCAACUGCGGGCCUGCAGCCGAUACGGGCAGGCUAGAGUUCGGUAGGGGAGACUGGAAUUCCUGGUGUAGCGGUGGAAUGCGUAGAGAUCCGGAGGAAGACCGGUGGCGAAGGCGGCCUGCUGGGCAGUUACUGACACUGAGGCGCGACAGCGUGGGGAGCAAACAGG
rnacentral:rRNA from 1 species